CCUACGGGUGGCAGCAGUGGGGAAUAUUGGACAAUGGGGGCAACCCUGAUCCAGCCAUGCCGCGUGUGUGAAGAAGGCCCUCGGGUUGUAAAGCACUUUCAGUGAGGAAGAACGCCUGGUGGUUAAUACCCAUCAGGAAAGACAUCACUCACAGAAGAAGCACCGGCUAACUCCGUGCCAGCAGCCGCGGUAAUACGGAGGGUGCGAGCGUUAAUCGGAAUUACUGGGCGUAAAGCGCGCGUAGGUGGCUUGAUAAGCCGGUUGUGAAAGCCCCGGGCUCAACCUGGGAACGGCAUCCGGAACUGUCAAGCUAGAGUGCAGGAGAGGAAGGUAGAAUUCCCGGUGUAGCGGUGAAAUGCGUAGAGAUCGGGAGGAAUACCAGUGGCGAAGGCGGCCUUCUGGUCUGACACUGACACUGAGGUGCGAAAGCGUGGGUAGCAAACAGGAUUAGAUACCCGAGUAGUC
rnacentral:rRNA from 1 species